UAAUGAUUUUCAUCAAGCAUGGAAAUGAGAAUACCUCUUAACUCAUGAUAAUCUAGUAUUCCUACCGCCUAGGAAUCUAUAAUAAUUCCCUUGCUUACACUAACACCUUUUACAACUACCCAACUUGAGUUGAAUGGUAAUGAUUUGAAUAUUUUCAAUAGAAAAUAUUGGGGAUUACCGGAAUAUUGCAAACUGUGGACCAAACGUCAAGUGAAUGAUAUGAGAAGUAUCACGUUUGUUUUGGAGGAGAUGAGGAAACAAGAAAAAGCAACUACAGUGAUAUGGUUAAUAAAUAUUAUGAUCUGGCAACCAGCUUUUACGAGUAUGGCUGGGGAGAAUCUUUUCACUUUGCUCACAGAUGGAAAGGUGAAUCAUUAAGGGAAAGCAUCAAACGGCAUGAGCACUUUCUUGCCCUACAACUAGGAUUGAAAAGGGGAAUGAAGGUUUUGGAUGUGGGAUGUGGAAUUGGAGGACCCCUACGUGAAAUUGCUAGAUUCAGGUAAAUUAUUUUUGUUGAAAGUUUGUACCAAAAGGGUGUUACCUUAUUGAUUGGUUAAGAGGUACAAUUUUUUUCCUUGCAUAAUAUGAUUUUGGGAGAUUGUGAAUAGAAAAAAUAUGCAAGAUAAAAAAACAGAUCUAUCUGGAUAUAAGUAUUAACUUUUCUAGGAUAAAGUGAUGUUUGAGAUUGGAACUUGUGACAACACAAGCAAAAGCUAAUCUGGAUGAUACACCAGAAACUAAUGA